GCCUCUGGGUCCACCUCCCACCCGUGUUUAACGAACCUUGUUGCUUCGGCGGGCCCGCCAUACGGCCGCCGGGGGGCACCCGCCCCCGGGCCCGCGCCCGCCGAAGACACCUGUGAACGCUGUCUGAAGUUGCAGUCUGAGACAACUAGCUAAAUUAGUUAAAACUUUCAACAACGGAUCUCUUGGUUCCGGCAUCGAUGAAGAACGCAGCGAAAUGCGAUAAUUAAUGUGAAUUGCAGAAUUCAGUGAAUCAUCGAGUCUUUGAACGCACAUUGCGCCCUCUGGUAUUCCGGAGGGCAUGCCUGUCCGAGCGUCAUUGCUGCCCUCAAGCACGGCUUGUGUGUUGGGCCACCGUCCCCCGUCCGCGGGGGACGGGCCCGAAAGGCAGCGGCGGCACCGCGUCCGGUCCUCGAGCGUAUGGGGCUUCGUCACCCGCUCUUGCAGGCCCGGCCGGCGCCAGCCGACCCCCUCAACCAAAUUUCUCCAGGUUGACCUCGGAUCAGGUAGGGAUACCCGCUGAACUUAAGCAUAUCAAUAA
rnacentral:rRNA from 1 species